ensembl:lncRNA
GAAGAAGUCGGGCUAAGUAUGGCAACAGCUGUAACGUCCCUCAUGUCCUAAGAGUUAAACUGCAUGGCUGCAAGGAAGUUCUGUCUAAGCUACACUGCCCUGUAGAUCUCCGAGAAAACAAAAUGCACGCAAAGACAGCUUUUAAAAAGAAAGGCAGAAGUAGUGAAACGCAGAGAUUUGACGCUUUACCACAGCCAUCUUCGCAUCGCCUAAUUAGAAGGCAUAAAAGCCUCUCCUGCCUUUACCUCAGCGAGCGGAAUCAUUAGGGUGAUGAAAGCCAGCCGUCUCCACGUUGCCAGCGAGCCGGUGGGAAGCCGGGCGGCGCUGGAGGUAAUUGCUAUCAGCGGCGGACAGCUCCCGGUGCUGAAAGGCGAGGCGCGGGCACGGCGCGCACAAUGGCUCGCCCCGCCGCCUUUGAAAAAUCACAGCCAAACUGAAUGAGGUGGCAAGUGCUCGGGCUGAAUAGCACUGUCUGCAGAACAAUGGCAGCCAACUACAAAUCCCACUAUAAUCACAUUAAUGAGAUUAAUCAGUGAAUUAGCAGCAGUCAAAUGUCAGGGUGGCAAGGAGGAAUCCAACCAAGCUUGGUAAUUAACUUUUGGGGGGCAAAGGAAGAGAACCGACUGUGUUAUCUCUUAGGCUUUUUCAGAAGUUUACCAAUUUUUUAUUCACAAGCCUCUGGAAGAUGCUGACAAUUCAAGUGAGGGGGGGUGGAGGGGAUAAUACGGAGACCUCAACCUUUGCAUGCAACCUGCUAAUACACAGUAUCCUAUUACUUCGAGCUGAAGUCCGUUGAGGAAACUAGCACCAUUUCAAACAGUCUACCCCAACUGCCAGAGUACUGCACUGUACUGAACUUUGGGUGUAAAAUUAGUUUUGUAAUCUAACUUCCACCACAAACUUCAGUAGGCAUGAUAAAUAUGGCCGAUGCCAAAAGCAGUAUUAAAUCUUAUUUCUUUUUAAAAAUUUACAAAAAAGACCCUGUUUCUGAAAUCAGGGGGAUAAGAGAAAGAAAAAAAAAAAGUGCCCUUUAAACAGCCAUCAGCAAUAGAUUACCAUGACAAGUUAAUGCUAGAUUUGUUGCAGAACAUUUUCUAAAACAAAAGGGAAAAAAAAAAAAGAUUUUUAAUCAAGUAAUUUAGAGUAAGUUACUUAAUGUAGGCAAGUCAGACACCUGAUCUCUGUCUGACCUCAAUAAAAGUGAAACUUCACUCCACCUUUAAUUUAGCACCCACAACCAUUUCUCUAUUCUAAGUAUAAGAUAUAAAAAGAGAUUCCCUGUAGACUGUAAAUAAAACACAAUUGCAUUUAUUUGCAAGAAAAAGGGUACUGUGUAUGUCCUUUUCUAUCUUUAAAAGGAACAUUGUCAACCUUGCAAAAACAUUUAUCACUUAAAAAACUCCACAGUAAUACACACAUUACUUCUGUAGAAAAUAAAUAAACAUUGCUUUUUAAAAAUCUCCUCUGUGGCUAGAUGAGGCUAUGUAUGUUGUUCAGUACAGAAAGAAAUGGCAUGCUUCUGUUCUAUUAAGUUUAAUCGUUGUUAGUGACAAAUAAAAGAAGCAAACCUGUGUAACAUCUCCUGUAUAAGAGGCUAACAAUCUAUUUCUUUUUUACUAACUAAUAUAAUUAAUUUUCUUUUAUACUCUCCAGUUAGCUUUUAGCACUAAAUAAAAUUAUGAAAUUCACACAAAAUGUAUGUGGACUACAGUCAUACUUAUCUGAACUACUUUAAAAUUGAAGUAUAGACUUAGAGGGUUAACUGAAUUAACCAUGCCUUAUUUACAGAGGUGUUUCUCUUUAAAGAAAAGAAAAAACUGUUACAGAUAAAAAAUAUUUAAGAUAGUGUUCUUUAGAAUUGCUACUCCCCUGUGAGUGUUCCGUUUUAAAGUACAAAACCACUGUUUUCAAACGUAGUUUUAGUGUAAAAACAUUAUCUUAUAAUCUUUUCUUUAAUUGUCUUUGGCUGUCAGGAGGCUUGAGCUUUCUAAUCUGAGAAGUUUCUGUCUCUGGCUCUCCAUAUCAAACAAGUACCGUCCAACAUGCAGCAAGUUUAUAUAAACAACAACAUGCUUAAAGCAUGCAACAUUAUGCGUUCAUGUAGCAAGCAUACACUUUAGGAUUUUUUAUAAGCUAUUCUACAGCCCAGUAUAAUUUCAGCUGCACAGCAGUAUUGUCAGAAGAACUUGAAAAGAGCAAACAAUGGAUGUUUAAGUACAAGCUACAGAACAACUGCAAAAAAUCACAAUAAUCUUUCCAGUUAGCUACAAGAAUCAACCCCCACCCUACAUAAAAUGCAUCCCACACCUGCACCGUUAACCAUUUACAAGUUAAACAUAAGAAAGACAUUUCAGCAUGGUUAAGAAACACCCUGUCUUACUACAACUUUGAAAGGAUGAGGAGUAAGAAGCAUACCACAGAGACCCAGAAAAUGCUGCUUUUUUUCUUCAUUGAACACUGAAAAGAUACCCCAUGUUCCAGGGAGUUCAAAAAAAUAGAUAUAUAUUAAAAUACACCCACCAACACUGAGUAAAAAAAAAUCAGGGGGCUUCAAGAAGACUGCAGGGAAAAAGCUCUCACUCUCUUUAGUGUGCAGAAGCUUAGGGGGAAAAAAAUGUCGCCCUGGCAGGAAUGACAAAUGCAGUAGGAUAGGCUAGCAGGCCUGAGGGAUCUGUUUUACUUCCACAUACAUCCUCUAAUGCACGCACUCCCACUCAUCCUCUCGAGAUGCCUUUUUUUUUUUGCCUCCACUUUUUUUUUUUUUUUUUCACCAGCUCCAAAUCCCCGGCAUAUGACCUUCUGUUAAAUAGAUAAAAAAAAAUUUGCUUAUCAGUCAUGCAAAUGAGGCUGAAUUCAUUUUCCACAACAGAUGGCCUCAUAGAUAAUGAUGAUGGAAGAGAGAAAAUUGAAUGUCUCUCACAAGGUGGUCAUGGCAACCGAGAGCAGAAUAAUAUCAAUAAUAAGCUCACUGCAUAAUAAGGUUGUCAAUCCCACAAAUCAAAGUCUCCAGCUAAAUCAGGUAUCCCACCCCCAGCUAGUUAUCAGGUAAAUAGAGAAAUAGAGAGCAUCCUUUUUCUUUUUAGACGAGGAGCUGUGAAAAGAAAUGGUGGCUCCAGCGAUUCCAGGGUACAAGGGGAAGGCAGGAGCAGAAGAGAUUUUUCUCUGCUAAUUGUAUUUUAUUUAAUUAUUUGGGGAGGGUGGGGCAGAGGGGCACUGGAUUUGGGGGUUUUUCCUAUUUUGUUUUUAAUUAUUCCCACAGAGUUUUUAUUUGGUUAGGGGUGUGGGGUGUGUUUUAGUUUGUUUUUUAAUAGUGAGGCUGGUAUUUUGAACUCGUUCUGCUGCCGAAGCCUUGUCUCCCCUCCCUGCGUCUGAUGUGAAGUGCUGCAUUGAUGCAAUAGCAACUCGCCUCAGGCUUCCACCUUGGCUCCCAGGGGGCCAUCCCGCAAAAUGAAUCAGCAGCCAUCCUGAGCAGACUGAUUAAAAUGAAAAUGGCAAGGCACAUGUCUGGGCGGAACUAGAGCUUGAGCUGCACUGCCUGUCUGGCAAGCAUGCUCAAUAUAGCUUUUGCUAAUAAUGGCUUACCGCCUUUCAUUUUUUAAAGGUAUUACCGUCACCCCUUCCCCCACUCCCCAAACAGUCAACGGUGCUGGGGGAUUUUCCCCCCUUAAUUGUACACUGAUCGCAGUGAUAUUUUGCCAGAAUGACAUACAGUGACUGUGAAAAGACAUUUUCCUUGCAAGGAUUUUCUUCGCAGAUGUGCUGAAAUACAAAGACGACAUAUUAACAUGCAUCUAUAAAUUAUUCCCAGAUAUUAGCUGGGAAAGAAACCUCAGAGGAAGAGGAAAGCUCAGUCACUACCAUAAACAUCAUUUUUUUUUCCUGUUUUUACACCUCAGCUUGCAAUGGCACCUUGUGCAUUAUGCAUCACAAGAAAAUGACUGCCAGUAAAUGCAGAGCAACUUCCUGGAGCUUUAUGUGUGCUGCGUUUGACAGACUCUGAGCUGAAUUUCUAAAGACCACCACCCCACACCCCCCCAAGCAGAUAACUGGGUGCACAGAGAAAGAGCAAUUUAAAGCGGGCAUCUCCUGUAGUCCUUGGAUGAAACACUAACAUUUUGCAGACAGCUUCAGUGUGCAAAGCAGAGCAGCGAGAAAACGUCGAUCGAAGCAUGCACAGGAUCUGAAACCUUGGAAGAAUGUUGUUUCGUGGGGACUGCUCUGCCUGUUUUUGUUAAGAACCAAAAACAUAGCAUCAUAACCAGACACUCUGAAGAAUAAAUCCAUCCCUGAUGAAACUAAGCCACCAUUCCCCCAUGUUCUACAUCUACCCUUUCCUUAAGCGCCUCUAGGGAUGAUGGCUCCACCACUUUCCUGACAACACGUUCCAAUGCCUAACUGCUCUUUCAGAGAAUAAAUUCUUCCUAACAUCCAACCUUAACCUCCCCUGGUGCAACUUGAGACAGAAUUGCAGGAUUGGGAAAAUCAAAGAGGAGAUAAAUCACAGACUGACCAUAUGACCAGGAUUUCCAGAUGCCUGGGGCUCUCAGUUGCCUGACUCUUACCUCUCUGACUACUGGAAUACAAAAUUACAGCGGACUUUUGUCAUUUUGCCUCCCAUCCUUCCAGUUUCUCAAAAAUAAAUGCAUGGAGCUGAAUAAUUUGAUUUCAAGAAAUUCCUGAAGUGUCAUCAUCUGGGUUUGAUAUCAGCAACAGUUUCCCUCUGCAGAUGAACUUAGAAUACAAAGCUUAAAAAAAAAAAAAAUGUAAUGGAAGCCCUGGCACUUGGAAGAAAAAUAGAAGUAUUUAGUAGCAGGGCAGAGCAAAGGCAGAAUCCCUCUCUUCUGACUCAAAUAUAUGCAUUAAAUAACAACCAGUUGUGUUCCUUCUUCUAUCCUACUUUCCCUCAUCCUAUAAGCAGUAAUGCAGCAUGAUGUCUAAGACAUCUCAGCCAAGAAAACCUACUUCUACCACGGACUCGAGCCCCAAAUACUUUCUCUGAUUUUUCUUAGAUGUUAGUGCUCUCAGAACCAUUCUCUCUGCAUCAUUCUUGAGCUCUUCUCUUACAUCUAGUAUUUUCAGAACAUUUGCUUCUGCCGCUCCUGAUAUUGACAGUCUUUGUCAUCCCACUUCUACAGCUAAUCCAUUGGUAGUUUUUGUUGAUGGAGCAAGCAAACAGACUGACAUAAAAGAUUCCUAUCCCAGUGGUGUGUUGAGACUUUAACUGACAGCUAUUUAAUCUGUAACACUGACUACAUCAGUUCCAAUGUACUAGGAAUACAGUGCUUACCCAGACUGAAGGAAUGUCAGCAAAAAUCCCGUAACAAUGGGGAACUCCGUCUGCUCCCCUGCUACUAUGCAAUUGUUUGUAGUUGUUGAAAGAGCCUUAAAGCUGAUCAACGGUAAGGCUUCCACAGAAUGAGCUUGAAUCCUGAUGACUUAUGGAAAUUAUUUAAAGCUCUGUGGUAUACUUUUAGUAUAGGGCCAAGCUUUCUGCACUGCUAAUGAAAUCUGUAGCAUCUGAACUGGAAAACUUUACUGCAAACUCUUAUCCAACAGGUGCAUUUUUGCACAUAGUGCAUGUAUGAAAGAAAACUUUAAGUCAGCAUAUACAUCGUGACAAUAAGAAGUUUAUUUGGGUUUUGGUUUUAGGUUUUUUGUUGUUGUUUUGUUUUGAUUUUUGUUUCAAAGAACAGUAUGUCUAGAUUCUGAUGCUAGGUAGCAAUCCACGACACAAUGCCCAGACAUGGGUCAGGGAACAGCAUAUGCCAGGGAUCAUUCCCAACACCCAGCAUCAGCCUUGGUUCUCCCUGCAAAAGAGUUUCCAAAGUAUUUGCACCAUGUGACACUUCUUCAUACCCUUAUGCUAUACACUGGAACACGCUGCACAUUCUCUGUUUAAUACUAGAAAAGUCCCCAUGCCAAAAGGUUGCAAUACAACUCUCACAUUAUUUCACUUCAAACUAAAAUGGGCAUGAACCCAUGGCUGUGUCCUGAGACUUUAAUUUAACAGCAAUAGCCUAGAAGACACUUAAGUCCAAGUGUCACACAGUAUUCCUGCAGUCACUCUGUGCUGCUUGACCUCCGGGCUAGAAAAUAGCUAUUAGCCUUUUUUAUUUAGUGACAUAUAUAGCCAACAAGACCUUCUGAGAUAGAGAACACUGAAUGAGUACAGUAUUGAGCCAGGGGAAAGAUAGAAAACUAAGACAAAUGGCAUAUAUCUCAUGUAUUUGUCAGCAAGAUUAAAAAGUAAAUAAAUGUACAGACCAUAUGAAAGAGAAGUAUUUGCUACCCUUUGUGCCUUAGAGCACCAAAAUAUCUCAGUGGGAUCAACUGAGUUUUUCUACAGACUUGUCACACCACAACAAAAUUCUGAAUCUCCAGAGAAAUUACAAGCAAGCAGCUAAUGCUCAGUUGACUAGGUGAAUAUUCAUGUUGAUGAACAGAAGGAUAGUCACAGAGCCAGAAAAAAGACCUUCCUCUGCAGCGUAUGUUAUUGAAUUAAACUAUACAACUUCCCUCUUUCCAUGUCAGAGAUAAACCUUAUUUUGAAAAAGGAGCAAGAAAAAAAAAGCAAUAAAACUGUAAACAAAUAAACAAGAACAACAAAAAAAAAUAAACAGAACUUAAAUACUUAUCCUGUAUUGGUUGUGGGAUUUAGACAUUAAAUUUAAAUAAAUACAGCUAUGAGAACAUCAUUGAUGCCAACUACCCACAUUACGAGAGAGAUGGAAAUACUUAGCCUGGUUAAGUUGCAACAAGAGGAUGUGAUCUGCAUUUUGCAUAAAAACCAGAAACACAGCUUACUGUUAGAAAUUAGGGUUCUGAAAAUUCUACCUAAGAGCAUGAGGUCAACUGAGUCCAGAUAAAUGUAACAAGCAGCACUACAAGAGUUGCAAAUAAGAAUUUUAAAGUAAUAAAGUUGUCCAAUAGGAACUUAGCAGCUCAUCAAGCUGAACUAUCAAGACUGAAAGCCCAGAUAGGAUCUAGCCAAUUCCACUCAACAGAACUUUACACUAGGAAGGGCUGAUGUGGACACAGAGUUUAAAACAAGUUGGAUGAUGGCCAGAAGACAGAAUUUAUCAUAGGCAUUAAUGCGUUCUUGAAAACAAACGGUAUUACAUAUCAUUGUAGAAAAAACAGUUCUCAAUCGUCAAUGCCUUUGUAUUUUUUUUCUAGGUGGUUCCAGUGCAUUAAAAUUAGUUGGAAGCACUACAACAUCAAUUACUUUUAGAAAAAAGUUAUCCCUAAUGAGACCCUGAAAAAAGUGUAUUUUUCCUGAUUUUAAAAAGGAAAAGAUAGACUUCACAGACAUAGAUAGAUAGACUUUACAGAGUCAAAGGAUAACCCAGGUUGGAAGGUUCAUCAGGAAGUGUUAAUUCCUGCACAAAGCUGGAUAGGGGUUUACACAGGGUGGUAACUACAUGGUCUCUAGGACAACCUACUUCACUUCUUGGCUGUUCUCAUGGUGAUAAAGGAUUAAAAGAAACAACCCAAAGAACAUUUGCUAAAACACACUGAGUAAGUGCUGUAGUGACUUUAUUUCAAAAUACCUUUAAAAAGGCAGUGAGCAGCUCUUUCUACUUUAUUAUGAAAAUAAAUACCUAAGAGAUACUGAAAUAUGCCAGCUUAGUGUAGUGGCUUGCAAGAAGGUUAUACAGCCAGUAAGAAGAGGAUUACAGGCCUAAACCUUAGACUAACUAUCAUAAGCUGCUGACUUAGCUGGAGAGACUCAGAUAUUUAAUAGAUUCAUAGGAAAACUGAGAAAGUAGUGUAGAGGCCAUUAGUGUGGGGUAGGAUGAAAAAUAAGAAAAUUAAUAUGUACUCUUCUUUCAUUUUCAUUUAGGUUCUCUGAGUAGAUUAGUGUAGUUUGCACAUAACUACACAGGUCACUCCAAAAGUAAUGCCUCCUAUUUAUUUCCAUGGAAAUUACAGCAGCAAUAACACUGUUUGAUAGAGAAAUUCUCAGCUAAAAACCUCUAUUUUUUAACAUAUUUAACACCAUUAGCUCUGCAUUUUCAACAGUAAUGAACAAGAGCCUGUAUGCCACACUUGUACAGAUCUACACCAGCAGAGGUGACCCACUGUUUCACAGCUACAAUUACACCAUGGCUGAAACGCACCACCCACCACUUCACUGUGCUCACAUCCACUGUUUGGUCUCCAGAUAGAUUCAGCAAGCAUCAAUUAAUGCCAACAGGUACCAUUUUUUUUUUCCACAUGGAGGAAUUCAAUGACACACCUUUGCUUCAUACACACUUGUAUGCCAGACGCCACUGUAAGACUGCCCCUCUGCUGCUAUGGCAACAGAAUGUCAUUGAAUGUCAGUAGGAAGGUUCAACAUCUACCACCAUACUACCAAUAUCUGCCUCUGAUGUUGUGUGCCAACAUAAUUAACGGGAGGCAUUACUUGCAGAGCAGACCUCAUAUAUUUUUAGCUAUAGCCACAAAUACUGCCUAACAGAGCAUUUCAUGGUUAGUACAGCCUCAUUCCUGUAGGGGUUAUAAGUAAAGAAUAACUGACUAGAAGAGUCAGAUUCACUAAUAUUGUUUAGUUCUUUCUGCAAUAAAGACGUGUUCACGAUCCCUAAUAUUCCAAGGACAGAUUGGCUAUCUAAUCACUGGCAUGACUAAUCAGUUGGAGUAACCACUGCAGUGACAAAGAUUCUUGUUUUCUAGAGCACACUAUUGUUCUAUUCUACAAAUUCUUUGCCUUCAACAGUCAGUUGUAUUGCCUCUCUUGAUGUAAAAGGUUCUCAAUGCAUAAUUGAAGUAUGAUAACAGUCUUCAAAUACACAAAAAACUGACACAAACAGGAAAGGAGCACCUUGUUCUUUAUAUUAGCAGUAAAGUAGGCUGAGAAUUAAUGGGCUUAAAUUAGGCAUUGGGAAAAAAAUCAGUGAUACAAAUAGAGAGACCACAACAGAUAAUGCUGGAGAUCAUUAAGUCACCAUCACUGGAUAUUUUCUAGAAUAACAAUUGGUCAGGAGUGAUGUAAGUAUAGUUGAGUUUGUGUUAGUGCUGGGAGAUGAAAGAGAUGGCCUUCUGAGGUCCCUUCCAGGCCUGACCUGGGUUUCUAUUUGAAGUCUGACUUAAGCAGUAACAGUCUGUAGUGUAUUUCAAAUGGAAUUAUAUCUUGCAAAAUAUUCCAACGAAACGAGACUCAUUAAAAUCUGAAAACUUGAAUGACCCCACUAAUUUCAUUACUGAAGUAAUUCUUUGAACUCAUUUAUUUCUCCUUUUCAUUUAUUACUAGCAUUGUGCUUGAGAAAACUGCAACCUGAUAAGAAAUAUGUAGAUAACUGGCAGUGGCUCGAGCUCAUCCAGCUGUGCUCAUGCUUGACCUGCCUUUUCUUAAGCAGAAUCAUCCCAUUUGUUGCCUGUUCUUAAGCUCAUUGACUGGACUUCAUAUACCAGGAAGUGAAAAGCUUGAAGUUAGGAAGUCGUACAGAAUAUCUGCAUACAACUUAAACUAAUCACUUUUUGUAUGGUAGUACUGCCUUUUUGUAAAAUAGUUGGCUUCACCCAGCCUAUUGGGUGAUGGCAUUUGAAUAGAUUUUGCUGAGCAAUGACAUACUAGGGAACUGGGCCUUUCCUAAAUAUUCACUACUACUUUCUCCCUGGUUCUGAAUAAGCCAUAAUUCAAUUCUUCCAGUUUCUAUUUCUUGGUUAGUAAAAUGCUCCAUGAUUUUCUUCCUCAAGACUCAGCUAUAGCAGUCAUGAUUAACUUCUCAGCUGAAGUCAGCAGCAGGUCGGCAAGUUUCUUCCUUGCCAUUAGAUAAUACUGUAAUCAAUAGGAAUCAUCUGCCCUCUUAACAACAGGGAGACCUUCCUAGGAGAAAAAAAAAAAUUAACCAUCCAUAUCAAAUUGAAAGCAAAUGCAUAAGCUCUUUCCAGGUCAGUUAAGCACACUGGGUCAAUAUCCAUCACCUUCUACCCCUCUCAUUAAGAAACCCCUCUCUGUCUAUCCUUGCUAUCUAUCUGUAGAUAACCUCCUGUUGUUUUAAUGAAGAUUUAUUUAAUAAUAACUUUUAAUAUGUUUAACUGAAACAAACACCACCAAAGGAAGAAAGACUUUCCCAAAUCCAAAUAGAAGAUAAUUUUAAUUAAAUUAUGAAAAAAAUUACUCAGAUUUAGGGCAUUAUGAAAUAAAUAAUAUCAUAUCAAAAUCAGACAUUUAGUAUAGAACCUUAUACUACAGAAUUUCCAGAAUUCACAUAUUAUUGAUCCUCUUUUUAUGAACAGCAGAAGAAGUCAAGACAGAC